rnacentral:rRNA from 1 species
UACAGCGAAACUCGCGAAUGGCUCAUUAUAUAAGUUAUCGUUUAUUUGAUAGUACCUUACUACUUGGAUAACCGUGGUAAUUCUAGAGCUAAUACAUGCUGAAAAUCCCGACUUCGGAAGGGAUGUAUUUAUUAGAUUAAAAACCAAUGCCCUCUGGGCUCCCUGGUGAUUCAUGAUAACUCUUCGAAUCGCACGGCCUUGCGCCGGCGAUGGUUCAUUCAAAUUUCUUCCCUAUCAACUUUCGAUGUUUGGGUAUUGGCCAAACAUGGUCGCAACGGGUAACGGAGGGUUAGGGCUCGACCCCGGAGAAGGAGCCUGAGAAACGGCUACUACAUCCAAGGAAGGCAGCAGGCGCGCAAAUUACCCAAUCCCGAUUCGGGGAGGUAGUGACAAUAAAUACUGAUACAGGGCUCUUUUGGGUCUUGUAAUUGGAAUGAGUACAAUUUAAAUCCCUUAACGAGGAACAAUUGGAGGGCAAGUCUGGUGCCAGCAGCCGCGGUAAUUCCAGCUCCAAUAGCGUAUAUUAAAGUUGUUGUGGUUAAAAAGCUCGUAGUUGAACCUUGGGCCUGGCUGGCCGGUCCGCCUCACCGCGUGCACUGGUCCGGCCGGGCCUUUCCCUCUGUGGAACCUCAUGCCCUUCACUGGGUGUGGCGGGGAAACAGGACUUUUACUUUGAAAAAAUUAGAGUGCUCCAGGCAGGCCUAUGCUCGAAUACAUUAGCAUGGAAUAAUGAAAUAGGACGCGUGGUUCUAUUUUGUUGGUUUCUAGGACCGCCGUAAUGAUUAAUAGGGACAGUCGGGGGCAUCAGUAUUCAAUUGUCAGAGGUGAAAUUCUUGGAUUUAUUGAAGACUAACUACUGCGAAAGCAUUUGCCAAGGAUGUUUUCAUUAAUCAGGAACGAAAGUUAGGGGAUCGAAGACGAUCAGAUACCGUCGUAGUCUUAACCAUAAACUAUGCCGACUAGGGAUCGGACGAUGUUAUUUUUUGACGCGUUCGGCACCUUACGAGAAAUCAAAGUGCUUGGGCUCCAGGGGGAGUAUGGUCGCAAGGCUGAAACUUAAAGGAUUGGAACGGAAGA